rnacentral:rRNA from 1 species
UACGUAGGGUGCGAGCGUUGUCCGGAAUUAUUGGGCGUAAAGAGCUCGUAGGCGGUCUGUCGCGUCGAUCGUGAAAACUUGGGGCUUAACCCUGAGCUUGCGGUCGAUACGGGCAUGACUGGAGUUCGGCAGGGGAGACUGGAAUUCCUGGUGUAGCGGUGGAAUGCGCAGAUAUCAGGAGGAACACCCGUGGCUAAGGCGGCUCUCUAGUACGGUACUGACGCUGAGACGCGAAAGCGUGGGGAGCGAACAGG